CGAGAUUUAGCUCAGUUGGCAGAGCAUUCGCUUCAUAUGCGAGCGGUCGCUGGUUCAAAUCCAGCAAUCUCGACCA
rnacentral:tRNA from 3 species